rnacentral:lncRNA from 1 species
CAGUGGGUAGCCCUGUUAGACUCUUUUCUUUCUGGUUAUAGGAUUGAAAUGAACAUUUGCCAGUGUUGAUAAGAUUGCUACCAAGACACAGAGACUCUUAGGAUGAAGAGGAACUUCUUAAGGAGGAGGCAAAGACCCGGCCCAGUAAGGGAAGCCCCAGCUCCUCUGAUCCCCAAGAUUGCAGAUCAUUCUCCUCUAAUGAGUUGGAAUAGAAAGCUGCAACACAAACAGGAACCUGGGUCAUUCCUCACUGCAUCAUCUCUAUUUAAGGAUGUAAACCUAAACCUCAGAUUCUGCUAUGAUCCUCCACCAGGACCUCCACAGGAGCUAGAAGAACACAGAAUGGACUGAGUACAUUGGAGUGUGUUAAGGAUGACUCAAGGAACUUUCUUGGUAUGGAGUAAUGGUUGAUUAACAACAGAGACUGAGUUUCUGCUGGAAUGUGAUCCUUACUGGGUGAAGGGAGGAAAUAGAGUGGAAUGGGAAUGAACAGAGCCCUGGCUUUGUAGUGUACUAUGACUAAUCAAUCCAAAAUAGUUCACUUACAAAUAGGUUCAUGCUGAAAUGCACUAUAUAAUUAAAUGUUGAUGUCUUGUCAUUCUUCCUAUCUAUUCUGAAAGCCAUGUAACUCCUUACUUAUCUCUAAAUUUUGUGAAAAU